rnacentral:rRNA from 1 species
GGGAUCAUUACACAUUAAAAUACGAAGGCCGUUCGCGGCUGGACUAUUUAUUACCCUUGUCUUUUGCGCACUUGUUGUUUCCUGGGCGGGUUCGCUCGCCACCAGGACCACAAUAUAAACCUUUUUUAUGCAGUUGCAAUCAGCGUCAGUAUAACAAAUGUAAAUCAUUUACAACUUUCAACAACGGAUCUCUUGGUUCUGGCUUCGAUGAAGAACGCAGCGAAAUGCGAUACGUAGUGUGAAUUGCAGAAUUCAGUGAAUCAUCGAAUCUUUGAACGCACAUUGCGCCCUUUGGUAUUCCAAAGGGCAUGCCUGUUCGAGCGUCAUUUGUACCCUCAAGCUUUGCUUGGUGUUGGGCGUUUUUGUCUUUGGCCCGCCAAAGACUCGCCUUAAAAUGAUUGGCAGCCGGCCUACUGGUUUCGCAGCGCAGCACAUUUUUGCGCUUGCAAUCAGCAAAAGAGGACGGCAAUCCAUCAAGACUCCUUCUCACGUUUGACCUCGGAUCAGGUAGGGAUACCCGCUGAACUUAAGCAUAUCAAUAAG